rnacentral:rRNA from 1 species
AUGCAAGUCGAGCGGAAGGCCCUUCGGGGUACUCGAGCGGCGAACGGGUGAGUAACACGUGAGUAAUCUGCCCCAGGCUCUGGGAUAGCCACCGGAAACGGUGAUUAAUACCGGAUACGACAACCGAUUGCAUGAUCUGGUUGUGGAAAGUUUUUCGGCCUGGGAUGUGCUCGCGGCCUAUCAGCUUGUUGGUGAGGUAAUGGCUCACCAAGGCUUCGACGGGUAGCCGGCCUGAGAGGGUGACCGGCCACACUGGGACUGAGACACGGCCCAGACUCCUACGGGAGGCAGCAGUGGGGAAUAUUGGACAAUGGGCGGAAGCCUGAUCCAGCAACGCCGCGUGAGGGAUGACGGCCUUCGGGUUGUAAACCUCUUUCAGCACAGACGAAGCGCAAGUGACGGUAUGUGCAGAAGAAGGACCGGCCAACUACGUGCCAGCAGCCGCGGUAAUACGUAGGGUCCGAGCGUUGUCCGGAAUUAUUGGGCGUAAAGGGCUCGUAGGCGGUCUGUCGCGUCGGGAGUGAAAACCAGGUGCUUAACACCUGGCCUGCUUUCGAUACGGGCAGACUAGAGGUACUCAGGGGAGAAUGGAAUUCCUGGUGUAGCGGUGAAAUGCGCAGAUAUCAGGAGGAACACCGGUGGCGAAGGCGGUUCUCUGGGAGUAUCCUGACGCUGAGGAGCGAAAGUGUGGGGAGCGAACAGGAUUACAUACCCUGGUAGUCCACACCGUAAACGUUGGGCGCUAGGUGUGGGACACAUUCCACGUGUUCCGUGCCGCAGCUAACGCAUUAAGCGCCCCGCCUGGGGAGUACGGCCGCACGGCUAAAA